GGGCUCGCGAGGUUCCUUUCUGUGCACAGGGCCAUACGGACAUCGUUCAGCAGUUAUUUACUGAGCUGCCACAAAGUGCCAGGGACUCUGUCGAGCUGAGAGGGAGGCCUUGGGAAAUUUAUAGGCUGAUGGGAACAAAAUAACAACAGGCACCUGCAGCAUCCAGUGGAAACAUUGCACUGACGGGGUUCUACUCUGGUCCAUCAUUGGGAUGCUUUGUGGCCCUGAGCGCGUUCUCUUUUGCCUCUGGAUUUUUUUCUCAUCUGCAGAGAGAUUGUACCUUGCAGGAAUAUUGCAACAGCAGAUGUGUAUAAAGUAACGUGACAUGUAAUAGAGUUGAAUAAAGGGCCACCAUUUGAUUACUAAGUGCUGUGAAGUGCCUGGUCAUCCUUACUUCGGGGGCGAGGCACCUCUCACCAAACCCCAGGGGAAAAAGGGACUCAUUUCAAAUAAAUGCAGCACGUUUAUGAGCCAAGUGGUCAAGCAGAAGAUUGGGGUCAAACCUAGGGCAAGGACGUCUGAAAGCAGAGCCCAGGCCAGCCUGCCAGCGGGAGACCCAGGGGAGCCAUGGGGGCAGGCUCAGCGGGAGAGCAGGCCCCGCAGGCCAGGGCCGAAGCUGUGCGUCGCAGGUGGGGUUGAGGCCCCCACAGAGAACAGAUAAGAGCAAUCCCCGUCCCCAAAGAGUGAACCCUCCUGGUAGGAGGUGUGGUGGACAAGUGAAGGGCACCAGAGGCUGAGAGCUCAGACAGUGGGUUUUCCACUGCGGAUGUGAUUCUAGUCAGAGGAAAACCAGCUCUGAAUCUCCCAGCAUCCGCAUGCUUACGUAUUCAUUGCAGUGAUUUUUAUUAAAAAUAACAUUUGCCUGGAAUGAUUAUCUUUAGAAAUGCAGAAAAUAUGAAUAACGAAGUCACCUAUAACCUCACCAUCCAGGCGUAACCCUUGUUAAUAUUCUUGUGUUCCUUCCAGCCUUGAUUCUGGUACAUAUCAAUAUACACACUCUUGUUCAUUUAAAUAAAAUGGGAUUGGAUAAUAA